AUGUUCCCUCUGGUUUAUCACCUUAUUGAGUUGGGGUUGCUUCUACCAGUGGCAACGGCAUCGGUUGAAAGGGCCUUCUCAGCAAUGGAGAUCAUCAAGACCGAUUUGCGCAGCAAGAUGUCCAAUGGUUGGCUUGAU
rnacentral:rRNA from 1 species